rnacentral:tRNA from 1 species
CGAAGUAUAGCAUAUACAAUGCUUUUUACUUACAUUAAAAAAAUAGUCAAAGACUUGCUUCGC